GAGAGAGGAUAAUAACAGUUAGAGUAAUCAAUAUCAACCCUUUAGAAUCUAGAGGAAAGAAGUCAACCUGAGCUUUUGAAGAAAAUGCAUGUCCAAGCUAUGUUGUAUAGGUUUAAGAAAAGUGCUAAAGCAAAUGAAAGCUAAAGCAGAAGCAGAAAACUGCUUGCAACAUAGGAAUACUUUGUGAGAAGUGUUUAACCUGAUCUUUUGAAGAUGAUAGAUAUCAAAGCUACGAUUAAUAGGUUUAAGAAAGGUCUUAAAGUAGUGAAAGCCGAAACUAUGAUAUGUGUUGCAACAUAUGUUUGAUCUUUUGUCAUUCUGAAUUUUAGUUCACUGCCCUGUGGCUUGAGAGACGAUGAUCAUUAUUGGUUACCGAAAGUAAAGAAUAAU
rnacentral:lncRNA from 1 species